rnacentral:rRNA from 1 species
UGCCUAACACAUGCAAGUCGAACGGUAGCACGGUACUAGCUUGCUAGUAUGGGUGACGAGUGGCGGACGGGUGAGUAACGCAUAGGAAUCUGCCGAAGAGAGGGGGAUAACUGAGGGAAACUUCAGCUAGUACCACAUAAUGUCUACGGACCAAACGCAGGGGACCUUCGGGCCUUGCGCUUUUUGAGGAGCCUAUGCCGGAUUAGCUAGUUGGUGGGGUAAAGGCCUACCAAGGCGAAGAUCCGUAGCUGGUCUGAGAGGAUGGCCAGCCACACUGGGACUGAGACACGGCCCAGACUCCUACGGGAGGCAGCAGUGGGGAAUAUUGGACAAUGGGGGCAACCCUGAUCCAGCAAUGCCGCGUGAGUGAAGAAGGCCUUCGGGUUGUAAAGCUC